rnacentral:rRNA from 1 species
GAGUGGCGAACGGGUGAGUAACACGUGGGUAACCUGCCCAUCAGAAGGGGAUAACACUUGGAAACAGGUGCUAAUACCGUAUAACACUAUUUUCCGCAUGGAAGAAAGUUGAAAGGCGCUUUUGCGUCACUGAUGGAUGGACCCGCGGUGCAUUAGCUAGUUGGUGAGGUAACGGCUCACCAAGGCCACGAUACAUAGCCGACCUGAGAGGGUGAUCGGCCACACUGGGACUGAGACACGGCCCAGACUCCUACGGGAGGCAGCAGUAGGGAAUCUUCGGCAAUGGACGAAAGUCUGACCGAGCAACGCCGCGUGAGUGAAGAAGGUUUUCGGAUCGUAAAACUCUGUUGUUAGAGAAGAACAAGGAUGAGAGUAAAAUGUUCAUCCCUUGACGGUAUCUAACCAGAAAGCCACGGCUAACUACGUGCCAGCAGCCGCGGUAAUACGUAGGUGGCAAGCGUUGUCCGGAUUUAUUGGGCGUAAAGCGAGCGCAGGCGGUUUCUUAAGUCUGACGUGAAAGCCCCGGCUCAACCGGGGAGGGUCAUUGGAAACUGGGAGACUUGAGUGCAGAAGAGGAGAGUGGAAUUCCAUGUGUAGCGGUGAAAUGCGUAGAUAUAUGGAGGAACACCAGUGGCGAAGGCGGCUCUCUGGUCUGUAACUGACGCUGAGGCUCGAAAGCGUGGGGAGCGAACAGGAUUAGAUACCCUGGUAGUCCACGCCGUAAACGAUGAGUGCUAAGUGUUGGAGGGUUUCCGCCCUUCAGU